rnacentral:lncRNA from 1 species
CACACACACACACACACACACACACACACACACUAAAAAGAAAGCCCAUCCUGGAAGCGAUAGACCUUCAGCCUCCCCCAGUCGCUAGCCCGAAAGGCGCUCCCUCCUGGUCGCGGCCGGGCAGGCACAGGUGGCCUGGAAAAUUGCUAAUUGAGCAACACAAACCUCUCCAGGGCCCAGGGCCCGGCCCUAACCAAGGAAGGAACCAUUACCAACGCCCGAGGUCACUGGUGAUCGCGCAUUUUCUACAGCAAAGCCUGGCAGGAUCCUAACCGGUUCGAGAGGCGCUACGAACCUCAAGUUCGAUGGCCGCAGACUUGACCACACUUUCAAGGACGCCUGGGCGCCUUCCUUGCGUUCCCCUUCGGGGGACCCACCCCGCCCGGCAUCCGGGAAAGCGCCCCUUUCUCUCCGGGCGGCCAGACCCGGUCCAGCCCGGCACCCCCGGCUGUCCACCUGCGGGAGGGGGCAGCGUCACCCCGCCCGGACUCCCGGAGGUCCCGGCAGAGGAGCGGCCUGUGGCGGCCGCCCAGUCCUACCUGCGGGGCUGUGGACGGCAGCCUGGGCGCGCUGGUGGUCAGCCAUCCCGCGGCUGGCAGCGCCACGAACAGCAACAGCCGGACGGGCAGCGGCGCCGACAGGGCGCCCUCCAUCUUGGACAACACCGGCGCCGGGCGGCGGGAGGUGAGGGCGUGGCGGUCCGGGGCGGGGCGGGGCCUAGGGGAGAGGAGGGGCCGGGGGGAGGGGCCGGGGCAGGGUCGACUCCUCCCAAAUGGGGCAGGUCGACUGAGUUGCUGAGGUUGUUCAGGCCUUUGACGUCUAUGGACUGAGCCAACUUUGUGAGCGUCCUCCUGGCGUUUGGGAUGAGAAUGGGGUUUUCUCCAAACAAGUGCAAUUCUUUACGAAGCCUUUACUUUUGGAGUGUGAUUUUGUUUUCUCUUUCGAAACAGGAUCUCGAAACAGUAGCGUAGGCUAGCCUUGAACUACUUACUGAUCCUGCUGCGUCGACCUCCUCAGUGCUGGAAUUGCAGACGUGUGCCACCCUCUCACCUCAACCUUGAUGGUGCUUUUUCAUUACUAUCAAUAUGUUCAUAUACUU